UCCAGGUUUUACAAUAAAAUGAGUUUCUCGAUAGCUGUAAAUAUCGAUACUUAUUAUAUUGUCUAUAUCGAUGUUUAUUAGCUACGGAUUUAGGAAUUACUCAUCACUAGUAGAAUAGAUAUUAUGUACUUGUACUGACUUGUCUUGUCUGACUUGGUGACUUGUCUUUUCCUGUGUUGAAGCGUGUUGUCUAUUGUCAUUUUUGUCAACGGUUUAUCAUAUUAUUUUGAUUUUCUUGUGUAUCUUGAAGUUAUGCUAUGUCAAUGGCAAAGCGUAAGUAUAAUAAGUUUAGGUAGAGUCAAAACUCAAUGGUCAUAAUAUCAUGAAUUCAACGAAUUCUUGGACAAUGGAGAACAUUUGCAAAAGGAAAAUGACCUGCAGCGGCUUCCUGUUGUUGAUUUGGGAGGUUGGGUGAAAGUCUUAAAGAUACUUUGUAUUAGUUUAAAAUGACUCCAUGGGCGUGUUCAGCUACUCGAUAGGAAACGGAUAUGCUCAUCAACGUUCUGGAGGAGCAUAAAGCCUUGCGCUUGCCUAGCCUUCGCGGGCGGUUGAGGAGCGUACACCGCAAGCUCCAAGCGAAGCGACUUUGGGAGGAACUGUGCGACCUGUGAUCUCCUAAAUGCCAUGGGCGGUUACACAAAAAGUCAAGUGUCACGCAGUGGCAAAAAGUAUGGUUUGUCAGAAAGCAUCUUGCUACAAAAGCCACUGCUGACACCCAGAGGCCGGCUAGUCAUUGACCGGAAGUGGCUACCGAGUACAUCCCCACUCUCCCCUUGGCAGUUAAAAGUUUUAAACAUAAUGGGAGAUGGGUUUGGGCUCCGUCAGAUGGAGGCCAGAGUUCCGCCUUUCCCUCCUCGCAUCGCAUUCUUCACGUCGUCGUCCUAGGAGAAUGCGGUUUGCUACUUACUGGCUCUGACGUCAAACGUAGACUGUCUGAGUAGGUACGAGGACAGGCGUGAAGAAAGGGAAACCAUAAGACAUAGGUCUUCCUGAGAUGUUGGACAACAUUUCCGCACUUGUCUAUCUAACUGAUCCCACAAGAGCUCGAUAGGAUUGAGAUCUGGAGACUGCGGAGGCCAUGUGAAGAGUUUCAAGACAUUUUGUUGUUCCUGUCCUUCUAAAAACUCUGCACAGAGUUUCGACGUGUGUUUAGGAUCAUUAUCCUGCUGAAAUACAAAUCCUGGACCAAUUAAACGGAUUCCUGAAGGUACAGCACUAUUUUCUAGUAUGCUUUUGUAACCUUCUUUUUUUAAGAUUCCCUGUAUCCGCACAAGAUCCCCAACGGCAGAGCCACGAAAACAGCCCCAGCCAUCACAGACCCUCCGCCGUGUUUAACUGAAGCCACAAGCGUCGAUCACCCUUUCAUUAGACUGCUGGCAUACGAAAACUCUUCGCUUGGAACCAAAAAUAUCGAAUUUCGAUUCAUCCGUCCAGAGAACCUUCUCCCAAGCUGCUGCUGUCCAAUUCUUGUGUUCUCUAGCCCAAUGAAGUCUUUUCUUUUUAUUAUAGUCCAGUCAAUUUAGUAUUUCACCUCGGAAUUCGAGAGACCCAGCUGUAAUUUUGUAUAUACUUGUAUAUUGACCCCCUAAAACUUGUCUCAAAACCUACAUAUGGUAGGGUGUAAGCAACUAUUAAAUUUUAAGGUCCAAAGGUCCCAAAAAACUUUUUUUUGCGCUUUUUUGGAAAUAUCUCAUUUCCUAUGGGUUUUAAUACCAAUAUUGUAGAAUACAAAAUUCUCUACAACUUUUGUGUAACUUUUUUUUGUACGGUGUUUUCGUUUUCGAGAUAGAGAACGGAAAGCGCGCGGUCACUGCAUCUCUUCAAAAAAAUUUUUUUUCGUCUAACAUAUCCGUGAUGGUUGUCUAUGGAUAGGACAUAAAAAAUACGUCAUGGGUCCUAAAACCAUUUAUCGUCAAAAUCAAUCGUUUGAAAGAUAGACGCUUCCAAAGUGGAAAAUCAAGUGUGUUUUUUAAAAAUGUCCGUGUCGCUUGCGCCGCACGGAAAAUCACGGUGAUGGCGGCCAGUGUCUGUCAGGCUGUAACUACAUUGGUGACGCCCCAAAAUAAUAUCGACAUCAAGAAUAUUUUCUUUUUAAUUUCGUAAUUUUCUACAGAUUCUAUUCAAUUGUUGCCCAUUACACAAAUGUCAAUUUUUAAAAAAGCCAUUAAAGUUUUAAUUUAUAGUCUGGAAAUGGUUUAACAAGAUAAUUAUUAAUUUAAAACCGUUGCUUUUUUAUUAUUUCGAUUCUAUUAGCGCAUCACUAGCCCACUUAAAAUUCCGGGUUCGGUGCAGUGUGACAGGGUUGUAAAAGCACCUCAUUUGAUUAAGUACCGCAUUUAGAUUUCAUUUUUAUGUAUCAAAAUGAUGAGCCUGAGUUUUAAAAGUUUUAUUGUUGUAAACUAUACAUCCUGAAAUAUUAUAAAUAUCAAUUUUCAUCAGUUCUAUUUCUAUAUAUUUAAAAAUUGGACAUCGAAAAGAUAGAACGGAAUAUUACGGGCUUAGCGCCACGGGCAUCAGCACCUAAACUCGGAAUAUUACGGUGACGGCAGGAAAAGGGUUUAAUAAAUGCUUUUACUUUGACUUUUUGUUUUUAGCCAUUCUAUUAUAUUCGCUACUAGCGACCCGCCCCAGCUUCGCACGUAUGCAAUUGUGAUAAAUUAUGCGUGUAUUAUAUUUGUAUUAAUUGAUAUACAAAGUAUAUUUAUUUUAUUUUAUUCCUCUUUAAUCACACUACCUAUUUAAAAAAAACACAUCAAAAUCUGUCGCUUAGUUUUAAACAUAUACAUACAUACUGCAUAGUUGUAGUGAUAUGCACAUAAAACUGAAAGAUGAUUCAGGGUAAAGUAAAAAAAGAGAAUGGUAUUAUUAUAUUCUACCAUCAAAAACAUUCUGUAAUAAAUCCAAGUCUCGCACCUCAUCUGUUUUUCUACCGUAAAAAGUUUUGAGAUAUAUGUAAUAGGUACCAAGUCGGUUAUUUUAUUUAGUCCCUACUUAAGGGACCUUCUGUCUUAAGUUAUUUUGUAAAUUGUUAUAAUAUCAAAAUAAUAUUUAUUUUAUGUUUUAAAUAAAAUAGAUAGUCUUUGUCAUCGCACGUAAUCAUGCAAUAUACCAUCAUAAUUCGUAAUCAUGCAAUACAAGUACUUGUGUUUUCAUGCGAUGGCCAAGUCAAUCUAUGUUACUAUUAUGUUAACAACAACAGUUGUUAUAACAACAUUGACAACAAUUGUUGUUGUUACAACAACAAUAAAUUAUAGUCAAUACUGUGACUGUCAUACUUUUGAAGAAAUCUCUUUAAUAUUUAUAGAAAUAUAUUCCUGGCUUUCCCAAUAAAUAUAUUAGUCUCUACCUACUAAGAAUUCGGAUAUUUUAAUAUUAGGUAUCUAUCACUGGAAGAUGUUUAAUAGUUGUACUCUGCUGUUCAUUCAUGUGUGUAUUAUAAUGU